AUUGAACGCUGGCGGCAGGCCUAACACAUGCAAGUCGAGCGGAUGAAGGGAGCUUGCUCCUGGAUUCAGCGGCGGACGGGUGAGUAAUGCCUAGGAAUCUGCCUGGUAGUGGGGGAUAACGUCCGGAAACGGGCGCUAAUACCGCAUACGUCCUGAGGGAGAAAGUGGGGGAUCUUCGGACCUCACGCUAUCAGAUGAGCCUAGGUCGGAUUAGCUAGUUGGUGGGGUAAAGGCCUACCAAGGCGACGAUCCGUAACUGGUCUGAGAGGAUGAUCAGUCACACUGGAAGUGAGACACGGUCCAGACUCCUACGGGAGGCAGCAGUGGGGAAUAUUGGACGAUGGGCGAAAGCCUGAUCCAGCCAUGCCGCGUGUGUGAAGAAGGUCUUCGGAUUGUAAAGCACUUUAAGUUGGGAGGAAGGACAGUAAGUUAAUACCUUGCUGUUUUGACGUUACCAACAGAAUAAGCACCGGCUAACUUCGUG
rnacentral:rRNA from 1 species